AAACAACUGCACAGUGGCCGAUUUUACAAAAGUGCUUAAAUAAACGACAUAUUGCAGGCAAAAUAAAAGCUUCAGCAUUUAUUAAGAAAGAGAACGGUGUUGAAACCGCAAGACUAUCCGAUAGUGUCGGCCGAUGUUGAUGCUUUGGUUGCUCUAACGCGCGACGGUUCCGGGCAAUAUAAACUUCAAACAAUCUUCGAUUUCACCGGUUUUGAGAUUAGUUGUGCUCGAUGUGCGAAGCGCGCUUAAAAACUAUGGAUCUGUUUCGCUGGCGAUGCAAUGAAAAGAAUGAUUUGGUCGAUAAAUUUACCGAACAGCAGAACACAGCAAGAAU